GGCUGGAGCUCAGAGAGAUGGAGGAGCCGCUGAAGCUGCAGCAGCCGGAGCAGAACGCACAGCUGCACAGCCCUCUGGAAAGAACAGAGAAGAGAAGUGGACGUCGCAGACCUGAACCAGGAUGUUCUCUGUGAUGUCAGGUAAUGGGGACCCAGUGAUGAAUAGAGAUUCCUCAAGCUGCUCAGAGCCUAGCAGGGGACCUGGAACCCUAAAGAAGCACAGGCGGAAGGAGGAUGUAAGCACUAAGCACCAGCUAUGGUGGCAGAACGAACAUUUCCAGGUGCCACACCCAUCAUACAAGGACCUUGAAGAAGGCACACGUGUCCAGUUAGGAGGAUGCUCCAGGAAGCCCCCAGGCAGUGCCUGUCAAACUUUCCAUGUGCCUAUGAAACACCUGGGCCUCAUGAUGCUGCAUUUCUAA